ensembl:lncRNA
GUUUGGAGAUGCUGUUCUUCAUGUCUCUUUUGUAACAAGUGGUUAUUCAAUUUAAUGUUUCCUUCUACAACUGGAAGAUUGACUGGUGAUUGACUGAUUUAUGUCAACUAGCCUUUGCUAUGCUAAAAUGUAGCCUUUCUUACAUUUUAGCAUAAGAAGCUUCAAAUUAAGUUUCUAUUAUGUUGACAGUUUACUUUAUUUAUAUAGCAAUUAUCAUGUUUAAACUUUCCUUUUAAGCUAAUGUUAGCUUAAGCAGCUAAUCAGCUAUAAUUGAGAAGAUACUUCAUCAUGUGACUUUUUUUGUAUUUAUUUAUUUUCAGUUAUGCAUUAUGUUAGGUUUUUUGUUAUAUUUUUUAUAUAAUAACAGUUUAUAUUCUUAUUAUUUAUUAUCAGUUUUGUCAAUAACGUUACAAGGAAAACAGGUUUGGUAGCUACUCCGCUGCUAGCUACAUUUAUUGCAAAGUUUCAGUUGUAAACCUAUUGAUACUGCUCAGCCUUAGCAUAGUUGGGUGUUAUCAAAAGUGUUGCAGAGUGUCUAAGAGCCCCAAUAUCUUUUAAAGAUUGAAACUUAUGAUCACCUUUUAGAUUAGAUUAGCUUUUAUUACCUGCAACCAGGGCUGCUAUGGCGGGGAAAAAUAUAAGAAUUUAAAAAUUUGAAAACAUUUUACAGGCCUUUCUAGAACCUAGAUCUGGUUAUAAUAACCUUCUCUUUCUUUCUUUUCUUUUCUUUUCUCAUCUUUUGCAGUCCUCCAGCUGUCAGCCAAACAGCAAUGACUUUGCUAAUUUCCUCCCAAAAACAGGUGUUUAUUUGCAGAGGCCUCACUUGUAAAUGUAAUGUCAUCAACCAUCAACAAUUUCAUCUUUUUUUAUUCUAAGACUCUAAAUGUGUACCUCAAAAGUGGAUUAUUUGAGGCUUCAGAGCUAGACCACGUCGACAAACAGCAUGAUGGUUAACACUACACCAGUGAGCAUUUUUAGGUGAAAUGUCCUUUCUUUAGGAAAACUGGACCACAGUGAAUUUACUUUAUGGCUUAGAGUGUUUUGUUUAAAUAUAGAUACUGCACAGCCCUACCAUUUAACCCUGGCUAUAAAAGCACUGCACAACUGUAUUUGGUAUCGUGUUUCCAAACAAAG